UGUGUGUGCGGUAGUGUUGCGGUGAGCGUGCUACGCAUGAACCCGGCUGCCCGAGUUUGAUUCCCGUGCCCACGGCUAAUAACGGUGGCGAAUAUUGGAAUUGGGCCUUCCCUAGGUCGACUCAGCAUAUAAUUGUGUACCUGGUGUGAUGUGUAAACAUCCACUAUGUGGGAUUAAAACCACGGGCGAUUGGCACGGUUGGACACAAACGGUGCGGUGUUCCGGCACCUUCAUGGGUGUUAGCUCGCAGCACUUGCCCCAGCAGUGUGCUAGAGGCUAUACGGUGGUGGUGGGGACUUUUAUCUUUGUGUGCGCGAGUGCGUGUUAUUGAACAGGACAAAUCCCAGCGAGCUAUAGAAACGCGCUGAAUGUAACAGCGAGUGAGGCGGUGGGGGGAGGGGGCAUUUCGAGUUUGUGUCGACUUGGCAGUUUCGUGGUGUCUCGCUCCAAGUAAUUGGGCGGAUCGCUGGAGUGUAAAUCCUGUCCGCUCAAGUGGAUUGUAAAUGCCCCGGUGACGCCAUUUUGUGUGCGAUUGUUCGAAUACAAUCCGCACAUUAGAGUGCAGCGUAGAUUUUUGAAAAGUAAAUAUAAAAAUAACAAACGACAGGAAGUAGUUGCAGGUGAAAUGAAGAAGAAUGAGAUCGUUUGCCAUGGGUGGAAUUAGUGUGCGGGAUGGUGGAGGGCAGCUAACAAAGACCGGCAUCGAAGAGAAGCCGCUGAUGAGGAAACGCACGAGACAGAAAGAGGCACACAGGCCCUUUGUCGAUGUCGAUCCACUGCUGGACCAAGGCCUCUCCACGCCAUGCGAGCCGUAGGGGGCUCUUUGGCCAUAGUUCACCACGCUGGUCAGUGGGAGUUGAUAAAGAUGGCCGCGCUGCCAGGGGGAGCGACUCGGAGCCAGGGAACGAAACGGGGAAAUGGACGCGGCCGCCCAGCAAGAGCCGCGACCCCAACAAUGGGGGUCGACAUCUGGGGUCGGCGUGAGCCCCCUGCACCUCUGUCGCGUCCACUCAAUCGCCGACCUCCGCGACCUCGCUGGGCGGUCGUUUUUGUGCGAGACGAUCAUUUUUAAAGCGGGGCAGAACAAAAAAUGCAAACAUCGUCACGACUGCACACGUGCCAUCCCUCCACCGUCACCACAACCAUCACCACCACCAUCGUUACCACCACCACAACCAUCGUCACCACCACCAUCAC